rnacentral:lncRNA from 1 species
GGUUGAAGAUAGAUACCUUUGGGAUUAUCCUUGCUUACAAAUGCAAUCUUAUUUUCACCCUGUAAGCUCCAACGGACUAAUUCUAGCUAGAUGUGGCUCGGCUUCUCCGUAUGUCUUCAACCCUAUAAGAAAAGAGGUUAUGAAGAUACCAGAACAGGAAGACGAAAGUUCAUGGAAACAGCCUCUAGGAUUCGGAUAUGAUCCCAAAGGAAAGACUCACAAGGUCAUUAGUGUUUGGCAAACACAAGAGCAAGAGCUUGUGGCUGAAGUAUUCGACCUGAGGGGAGCAUACUCAAAAUGGAGGAGCUUAGACAUCUCCACUUCCGCCUCAGUUCUUCCUCUCGGCAAUGUUUGUUUUUCUUCUUCCACUGUGACCAUUAGUGGAUAUGUUUACUGGACGGCCACUAUAAGCGAUGUGAGUGUCUAACAGUCUAAGUAAUAACUUGGGCCUUUAUAUAUCAUCACUUAUAAUAUGUUGGUCCGAGACACUCACUGUUAGUCUAGAAGCAGUCGGUUUGAGUGUUUCUUGGGCCGAGACUUUAUAUCAUGUUAUGAUCUCGGGAUCUGAGGGAAUAUACCUUAUAAACCCAAAACCUCUGAGUUUAUCAAAAAUAAUUAAAUUAAAGUUGUC